GCCUAUGGCCAUGCCACCCUGAGCGCACCCGGUCCCAUCUGAUCUCGGAAGCUAAGCAGGGUCGGGCCUGGUUAGUACUUGGACCAUUUAGGAAAACCAGGAGCUGUAGGCG
rnacentral:rRNA from 1 species